rnacentral:rRNA from 1 species
UCGAGCGGUAAUAGCCCUUCGGGGUACACGAGCGGCGAACGGGUGAGUAACACGUGAGCAACCUGCCCCCGACUCCGGGAUAAGCGGUGGAAACGCCGUCUAAUACCGGAUACGACGCCCCGCCUCAUGGCGGGGGGUGGAAAGUUUCUCGGUUGGGGAUGGGCUCGCGGCCUAUCAGCUUGUUGGUGGGGUAACGGCCUACCAAGGCGAUUACGGGUAGCCGGCCUGAGAGGGCGACCGGCCACACUGGGACUGAGACACGGCCCAGACUCCUGCGGGAGGCAGCAGUGGGGAAUAUUGCGCAAUGGGCGAAAGCCUGACGCAGCGACGCCGCGUGGGGGAUGACGGCCUUCGGGUUGUAAACCUCUUUUACCACCAACGCAGGCCCGGGGUUCUCUCCGGGUUGACGGUAGGUGGGGAAUAAGGACCGGCUAACUACGUGCCAGCAGCCGCGGUAAUACGUAGGGUCCGAGCGUUGUCCGGAAUUAUUGGGCGUAAAGAGCUCGUAGGCGGCGUGUCGCGUCUGCUGUGAAAGACCGGGGCUUAACCCCGGUUCUGCAGUGGAUACGGGCAUGCUAGAGGUAGGUAGGGGAGACUGGAAUUCCUGGUGUAGCGGUGAAAUGCGCAGAUAUCAGGAGGAACACCGGUGGCGAAGGCGGGUCUCUGGGCCUUACCUGACGCUGAGGAGCGAAAGCAUGGGGAGCGAACAGGAUUAGAUACCCUGGUAGUCCAUGCCGUAAACGUUGGGCGCUAGGUGUGGGGACUUUCCACGGUUUCCGCGCCGUAGCUAACGCAUUAAGCGCCCCGCCUGGGGAGUACGGCCGCAAGGCUAAAACUCAAAGGAAUUGACGGGGGCUCGCACAAGCGGCGGAGCAUGUUGCUUAAUUCGACGCAACGCGAAGAACCUUACCAAGGUUUGACAUCACCCGUGGACCUGCAGAGAUGUGGGGUCAUUUAGUUGGUGGUGACAGUGGUGCAUGGCUGUCGUCAGCUCGUGUCGUGAGAUGUUGGGUUAAGUCCCGCAACGAG